GAUCCUGGCUCAGGAUGAACGCUAGCUACAGGCUUAACACAUGCAAGUCGAGGGGAAACGACAUCGAAAGCUUGCUUUUGAUGGGCGUCGACCGGCGCACGGGUGAGUAACGCGUAUCCAACCUGCCCACCACUUGGGGAUAACCUUGCGAAAGUAAGACUAAUACCCAAUGACAUCCCACGAAGACAUCUGAAUGGGAUUAAAGAUUUAUCGGUGAUGGAUGGGGAUGCGUCUGAUUAGUUAG
rnacentral:rRNA from 1 species